rnacentral:rRNA from 1 species
UGGCGGACGGGUGAGUAAUGUCUGGGAAACUGCCUGAUGGAGGGGGAGAACUACUGGAAACGGUAGCUAAUACCGCAUAACGUCGCAAGACCAAAGAGGGGGACCCUCGGGCCUCUUGCCAUCGGAUGUGCCCAGAUGGGAUUAGCUUGUUGGUGGGGUAACGGCUCACCAAGGCGACGAUCCCUAGCUGGUCUGAGAGGAUGACCAGCCACACUGGAACUGAGACACGGUCCAGACUCCUACGGGAGGCAGCAUG